rnacentral:rRNA from 1 species
GAUGAACGCUAGCUACAGGCUUAACACAUGCAAGUCGAGGGGAAACGACAUCGAAAGCUUGCUUUUGAUGGGCGUCGACCGGCGCACGGGUGAGUAACGCGUAUCCAACCUGCCCACCACUUGGGGAUAACCUUGCGAAAGUAAGACUAAUACCCAAUGAUAUCUCUAGAAGACAUCUGAAAGUGAUUAAAGAUUUAUCGGUGAUGGAUGGGGAUGCGUCUGAUUAGCUUGUUGGCGGGGUAACGGCCCACCAAGGCUACGAUCAGUAGGGGUUCUGAGAGGAAGGUCCCCCACAUUGGAACUGAGAUACGGUCCAAACUCCUACGGGAGGCAGCAGUGAGGAAUAUUGGUCAAUGGACGAGAGUCUGAACCAGCCAAGUAGCGUGCAGGAUGACGGCCCUAUGGGUUGUAAACUGCUUUUAUAAGGGAAUAAAGUGAGUCUCGUGAGACUUUUUGCAUGUACCUUAUGAAUAAGGACCGGCUAAUUCCGUGCCAGCAGCCGCCGUAA